rnacentral:rRNA from 1 species
UACGUAGGCAGCGAGCGUUGUUCGGAGUUACUGGGCGUAAAGGGUGUGUAGGCGGUUAUUUAAGUUUGGUGUGAAAUCUCCCGGCUCAACCGGGAGGGUGCGCCGAAUACUGAAUGACUUGGAGUGCGGGAGAGGGAAGUGGAAUUCCCGGUGUAGUGGUGAAAUGCGUAGAUAUCGGGAGGAACACCAGUGGCGAAGGCGACUUCCUGGCCUGUUCUUGACGCUGAGGCGCGAAAGCUAGGGUAGCAAACGGG